GACAGAGGCCCCAAGCGUUAGGCGGAAUCACUGGGCUUAAAGCGUGUGUAGGCGGACCCCUAAGUGUCUUGUGAAAUCCCACGGCUCACCCGUGGAACCGCUGGGCAUACUGGGGGUCUUGGGCCAUUCAGGGGCGACUGGAACAAGCGGUGGAGCGGUGAAAUGCGUAGAUAUCGCUUGGAACGCCGACGGUGAAAACAGGUCGCUGGGAAUGUGCCGACGCUGAGACACGAAAGCCAGGGGAGCGAACGGG
rnacentral:rRNA from 1 species